GACGAACGCUGGCGGCGUGCUUAACACAUGCAAGUCGAACGGAAAGGCCCUGCUUUUGUGGGGUGCUCGAGUGGCGAACGGGUGAGUAACACGUGAGUAACCUGCCCUUGACUUUGGGAUAACUUCAGGAAACUGGGGCUAAUACCGGAUAGGAGCUCCUGCUGCAGGGUGGGGGUUGGAAAGUUUCGGCGGUUGGGGAUGGACUCGCGGCUUAUCAGCUUGUUGGUGGGGUAGUGGCUUACCAAGGCUUUGACGGGUAGCCGGCCUGAGAGGGUGACCGGCCACAUUGGGACUGAGAUACGGCCCAGACUCCUACGGGAGGCAGCAGUGGGGAAUAUUGCACAAUGGGCGGGAGCCUGAUGCAGCAACGCCGCGUGCGGGAUGACGGCCUUCGGGUUGUAAACCGCUUUCGCCUGUGACGAAGCGUGAGUGACGGUAAUGGGUAAAGAAGCACCGGCUAACUACGUG
rnacentral:rRNA from 1 species